rnacentral:tRNA from 1 species
GGGCCUAUAGCUCAAUUGGUAGAGCGCCGGACUCUUAAUCCGUCGGUUCCAGGUUCGAGUCCUGGUGGGCCCA